UACAGAGGUCUCAAGCGUUGUUCGGAUUCAUUGGGCGUAAAGGGUGCGUAGGCGGCGCGGUAAGUCGGGUGUGAAAUCUCGGAGCUUAACUCCGAAACUGCAUUCGAUACUGCCGUGCUUGAGGACUGGAGAGGAUACUGGAAUUUACGGUGUAGCGGUGAAAUGCGUAGAUAUUCGGAAGAACACCAGUGGCGAAGGCGGCUCACUGGACUGGUAUUGACGCUGAGGUGCGAAAGCGUGGGGAGCAAACAGG
rnacentral:rRNA from 1 species